rnacentral:rRNA from 1 species
CCUACGGGAGGCAGCAGUGAGGAAUAUUGGUCAAUGGCCGGAAGGCUGAACCAGCCAUGCCGCGUGAAGGUCAGUGCCCUAUGGGCGUUAAACUUCUUUUGUGCGGGAGCAAUAAUGGUCACGUUUGGCCAGACGAGAGUACCGUACGAAUAAGCAUCGGCUCACUCCGUGCCAGCAGCCGCGGUAAUACGGGGGAUGCAAGCGUUAUCCGGAUUUAUUGGGUUUAAAGGGUGCGUAGGCUGUGAGGUAAGUCAGCGGUGAAAUGCCCCCGCUCAACGGGGUGAAGUGCCAUUGAUACUGCCUGGCUGGAAUGCGGAUGCCGUGGGAGGAAUGUGUGGUGUAGCGGUGAAAUGCAUAGAUAUCACACAGAACACCGAUUGCGAAGGCAUCUCACGAAUCCGCGAUUGACGCUGAUGCACGAAAGCGUGGGUAUCAAACAGGAUUAGAUACCCUAGUAGUC